UCCUCUCUCCCCCUUUCUCUUCGUCUCUUCCCCUUCGAUCUCCCCUCUCUGCCCCGACUCCCCUCUUCCUCUUCCUCAAGCCGAUCGUCGUCAGUGCAGUCCACCUCGGCCGGUGAUGCCCUCAUGACCCCGAAGCUGUAGUGUUGCCUUCCUUCUUCCAUGCGAUACCGACCGUCGGCCUCUCUCCCGAUCCCGCCGACGGUGGUGCCUCGCUCGAUCAUCGCCGUCUCCGAGAGGGUGGAAUCGAUGAAGGGAGUUAGGGCAACCUCUCCCUCUUGUGAUCUCCUCUUCUUCCCCCGACACCCUGUUCUUGCCUUCACAUCGCCUUCCACCCGAUCACCGGUGAUGCCGCCUUAUCGCCGAGAGAUCUGUGCUGCCGAUCCCUCUUCAUCCCGGUGCCGCUAGCUUCUUCUCAUCGACUUUGGAGUCGCCCGAUUGGCUGAUUGCUCGACGAUUGGUCGAUUGCUCGACACUCUGCCCUAGUUUUGGCUGCCCUCUUCGCAUCCCCGCAACGAAGCCAUCUUGCGCCGCUAGCUUCCGUGGUCAUGCUUUGCUGAUUCCAUCAGCCACGAUCUUCUCCUUCUUGAGCCUAGUUGAUCUACCGACAACCACCACCGAUCGUCCACAGCAGCGAUCAAUGUUGUGGCUACUACAGCCAAUUGUCGAGGAUACUCAACCGGGUGACCCCUGGCCGCUGUGCAACUGCUACAGACCUUUGGGUGGCAUCACGUUAUCAAAGAGGAAGAAUUAGCGACUUCUCCUUGUUUCGCUCACUAUUUCCGGCUUCAACCUCUUCCAACAGCGGGUCAAGUGGUUGUGCUACGGAUUUAGGUAGAAGAUUAAGCAAUUGCUUAGAGGCAUCUUGUCUGCCGGUCCCUCGUCACAUCAGAAGAUGAUUUUACUUCGCUUUUGCUUUCUUUUAUAUAUUCUUUAAUAUUUUAGCAUUGUAUUGGUGUUUAGCCAUGUGAGUAUUUUCUUAAGUUUGGUGUUGUAUUUAUGUUUAAGCCGUGCCGACACACAUUAUGUUGUUUUGGUUUGUAUGGGCUUUUCGUUGUAUUUUUAGUACAACCGCGUGAGUUGUUUAAUAUAUAUAUAACUGCAUGGUUGUGUA